ACGAACGUUGGCGGCGUGGAUUAGGCAUGCAAGUCGAACGAAUCCCUGUGGGGGUAACUCUGCAGGGGGAAGUGGCGAAAGGGGCAGUAAGGCGUGGGCAACCUACCCCGGGGACGGGCAUAGCCCUCCUAACGGAGGGGUAAUACCCGGCGACGUAGUUGGGAGGCAUCUCCUGGCUACCAAAGGAGUUUCGCCCCGGGAGGGGCUCACGUGCUAUUAGCUGGUUGGUGGGGUAACGGCCCACCAAGGCAAAGAUGGCUAGCAGGUGUGAGAGCACGACCUGCGCCACUGGCACUGCGACACUGGCCAGACUCCUACGGGAGGCUGCAGUCGAGGAUCUUCGGCAAUGGGCGCCAGCCUGACCGAGCGACGCCGCGUGUGCGAUGAAGGCCCUCGGGUUGUAAAGCACUGUCGAGGGGGAGGAAGCCGCAAGGUUGACCGAUCCCUGGAGGAAGCACGGGCUAAGUUCGU
rnacentral:rRNA from 1 species